AGUCUGGAAUGAAUAAUUUUUCAUGCAGUAUAAAAUAUCACACCUUGACCACAAAUAACAACUAAAUAUCAUAAUUUCAAAUAAAAUAUAUUGGCUUAUUAGAGCCUUACAAUUACCCUCGUAAUAAAAUGACAUACGUAAUCCCUAAAAACAAAUAUUACAUAUGUGAUAUUUUCUCAAGAACCAACAAAAUAAAUCGAGACCAUAUUAUUAAACUCGGGCAUGAUGUCAUAAUCUUAGAGCCUUACAACUCAGUUUAAACAUAAAUAAUAACCCAACAAACUUUCAAGAACACUAUGAUAUAUGUGAUAGAAUAAUUCUCCUCUUUAUUAUCAUGAACACACUUAAAUAGCACUCCUCCUCGGUCAUAUCAUAAGGAUAACUUACACAUAAUUCACACAACAUAAUUAAUAUGUAAAAAGAUAUGAGGUGGAUGAGCUUUAAGUCACUUAAAGUGGUAUGAAAAUAUGUAUAGAAAGAACUAAACAUACAAUAAUACAUUCAUUUAGAGCCUUAGAAGUAUAAACGUUAAGUUAACCAUAAUUAUUGGUUUUUGGUGAUUGUUCAAUUGUCCUUGCGGGUUAUUAGACUUGUAGUUGAAGAAGAAUGAACGUGUAUUCUAUCAGUUAUUCAGAUUCAUUAUGACUUCCAGUCCUCUAUGCUCUCUUAUAUAGUGCUAAAGCUUCAAUCUGGGCAUGGGGUGAGAGAGAAGAGUUCGAGUACAUGAGUGUAAAAUGAUUGUGACGAACGGGAAAGUCAUAUUUCCAAAAUUGAUUCGGGGCUCACUGCGAUGGUUGCAGCCCCUUGAGAGAAUAAUUAAUUAAUGUGCAAAUUUAGAAAUGGGAGAUUAAAACAGUAAUUAGAAACAUUAUUAAGGUCUUGAUUGAUUUAAAUUAUGCUGAGUAUGUGGUAAUUGAUGCCAUGAAUAAAUUUUAUGUUGGGCUUAUGUUUGAUUUGCUGUAAUGACUCUGAUUGAUGAAUUAUUUGAUAAUUGAUGUAAAUGUGAUGUUGACUCUUGUUGAAAUGAAUUUUUGGUAUGCAACAUAUAUAUGAUGACUAUGGAUAUUGAGAUAUUGGUUGGACUAUGAAUAUGUGUUGUUGAAAAUAUUAUAUGUGAAUAUAGUUUGUUGAAUGAGAUGUUAAUUUGAGAUGAAUGAAUAUUUUUAUUACCCUUAUUUGAUUCAGAUGGAUGUGAAUAAUAUGAAAUGAAUGAAUAUUCUUGAUUACCCUUAUCGAUUGUCUUUAAAUUGUGUUUGCUUCUAAGGGGUAUCCUAUGCCAACGAGGGGAGAGAUUAGAUGUAAUGGGUGACACUAUGUUUGAUUCAUGAACAUGUGUAUUGUGGAAUGAUUGAGAAUGUCGUAGUUUCGAUGAUUCAUUAGGGGCUUGCUGCGAUGGUUGUAGCCCUUGAGAGAUAAAUAAGUUAAUGUGCAAACAUGAAGGUGUGAGGUAAAAAAGAGAAAUUAGAAACUUUAUUAAGGUGUUGUUUGAUUUAAAUUAUGCCGAAUGUGUGGUAGUUGAUAUUAUGGAUAAAUUUGAUGAUGUAUUCAUGUUGAAUUAUUCGAUGGGCAAUAAAGUUGUGAUGUGAGUUUUAUUUUUGUGGUGAUAUAUUGUUACUAGUUGUCUAAUGUGAGAUUAUUUAGUGAUGUAGUAAUUAAUGAUUGUGAUGCUUGAAAUUUGUGAUGAGCAUAUGUUUAUUAUCCCUUAGACGAUGAACAUAUUAUUUAUUAUUUGAUCCUUGCUAAGUUAUGUUUUAAUAGUUAUUGUUGUAUAGAUGUAUGUUGGCAACCCUAUUAAUUAGUAUGAAGCUAUUAUGUAUAUUGCUUUCAUAUCAUACUUGCUGGAUUACUUAUUAUGUGAUUGAAAAUUUUGGCUAGUUAUCAUGAGUAUAUAUGACUGAACUGAUGUGACUUUACUGAGACUGAUUGAGACUCAUGAAUUUGAUCGAAUAGUGUGAAGUGCACAUUGUGAAUUGCGAUUAUUAGAUGAAUAUGGACUAAACAAUAAGGUAUAGGGCAUAGCAGAGUGUUUUGUCAUCAUCUAGGUAGGGUCUGACGCACCCAAUGUUUGAGGAAGUACUAAUGAACAAGACAUAUUGUCUCUGGUUGAGGUGGGGGUCUAUGAGGGCAGGGCCAACUUUGAAUAGUCCGUAAGGACUUGGCCAAUCUUGAAUUGUUUGUAGUGACUCGGCCAAUCUUGAAUAGUCUGUAAUGACUCGACCAUUUUAGAAUUGUCCAUCCAUCAUGUGGUGGCAUAGCACUAUCGACCUCCUAACCAAGUACUUCGGAGUAGAAAUGGUACCAAAUAAAGACAUGUCUAGAGUCUAACAGCAUGCAUAUCAUUGUUUGAAUUGUGACUGUGUUAUUAUGAAUGAUGUAGAUUAUUUCGUGAGAGUAUGAUAUUGAGUGUCUAAAAUGUCAUUUGUGACUGUUCCAUUAUGAAUGUUUUUUAUUACCUUGUUAGAAUAUGUUCUUGACUGUCUUGAUUAUUAUUUGUGACUAUCAUGUUAUGACUAUCUUGGAUUGAAUUGGGACAUUAUGUUUGUGAAGGCUUUGAUUCGUAUGUGUAAUGAUUUUCUUGACUAAUGUGAAUUUGGCGGAUAUAGUAUAUUUUUAAGGUUAUGAAUUUUGUAAUAUGAUAUGGUUUAGACUUGAUUUCUCGCGUGUUCUUCUUAUUUAUUUUAUACUAUUACAUGUUCUCGAAACUCACUCCUUCGUUGUUUGUGUUUGCUGGCUUGACCAUGAGGUUGCGAAAUUGCAGUUCUAUAGGUUAUGAUUUCUGGAGUCAAGUACAUGCCUUCUAUGAAGACUUGUCUUGUGUCGCCUGUUAUUUUAGAAAAAAGGUCCACUAUGAUAGGUGACAUCGGGUUGAGAUUAGUUUAUUCUAUUUAAGCUCAGUACUUGUAUUCAAAUUUGUAAUUUUUAAAUGUUAGUCGAAAAAUCAAAUUUUCUUAUUAUUAAUUUUUCAAUUAAUUGAGUAUGAAUUGUAGGUAUAAGUUGUGAUGUCCUUGUCUCAAAAAGUUUUUGAAAAUCUAUAAUUUUAAUAGUCUGAUGUGAGUUAAAAGUUUAUAAAUGCCAAACAAAUUAUUGUGGAAUUUAGGGUGUCACAUUAUUGGUAUUAUUGCAUUAUCCUGUGUACUCAUUUUUUUUAUUAUAUGUGUGUGUGUGCGUGUGCGUGUGUGAGUAAAUUAAAUCUAACAUGCUUCUAAAUCGUUCAAAUAAAUUGCAACAUUGAAAAAAUUAUAAAAAUAACAGUAUUGUAAUGAUCAAACAAAAUGAAAUGCUUACACAUAUUGGAGAAAUAUUUUUUACCUUAACAUGGUUUAAAUAGGCCUACACGAACCUUUAUAACACUCCAUAUGCCCAAAAGGAGUCUUCGGAUAUUGUAUAUAGCAAUCGUGGUCACUAAGACAUGGAUGACUGUUAACUACACCAAAAUAUAAGGAAACAAAACUGAUUAGAAUGUAAAAAAACUUCAGAGACUUAGCCAUUUUUUCACCUUUAUAUAUAACAAGUAUAAACUUGUUGGAUCACUUUAUAUAGUAUAAAGUCUCUUGCUAUUUUUCAUCAAUUAAAUAGAUUUUUUUUGUUACAUCAAUUAAAUAGAUAUUAAUAAUUGUUGCAAGAAAUCUUUUAAGAUAAUAAAAAAUGUUAAAUGUCUCUAAAAAAUACAGAUGAAUCAUAUUUGUCCCUUUAACUCAUAGAACAUAUCUCAAACAAAAAAAAAAUUCUUGUAAUUAGAGUUUAUUUUUAUCGACAACCUUUCAAUAUAUAUUUUUAUUUCUUGGCUAAUCUUUCAUAAUAUAGAGAAGAAACCCAACAUUAUAAUAUGUUGGUAUGAGUAAGAUUGAACUCACAUAUUGAUGACAACCAAUCUUACAUUAUUUUUAGUAGCAUUUAGAGUCAUUUCAGAGUUAUUUAGCAAGUUUUGAUUUGUUUUACUUUAGUUUUUAUAAAUAAAUCAAUGGAUGAGCAUGUAAGAGCUAUUAGGUGUACACGACCUUGAAACAUGUUAAAUCACUUAAGAUAUAACAAGUGAUUUUUUGUGGUAUACUCAUCGUGAACGUUCAAUGAGGAGAAAUGAGACAAGGAAUUAAGAAAAGUUGAAGGUUCAACUACUAGUUGUUGUGUGUUGUAUGCUAUGAGAUAUGCGUCGCACAACUGUGAAGAAAUUGAAAGUGUUUUACCACUACCUCAAUUGCUCACACGCUAGGAGUUGCGCAUUACAUAAGUCAAAUACUAGAAGUAUGGAUUCUGAAUAUAAAUGAUUACAAUUGUUUGGUCAUUGGACUUUAUUGACCGGCCCAAAGGAAACAACAAAUUGCCUAAGAAAUAAGCAGAACCAACCCUAGGCAUAGGCCUAGGGCUAAACCCUAAAGUGUUGGGUUGGGGGUGUGAAAUGAAAUGUUGUUGGGUUGUAGAAAAGGGUGAAACGAUCAUUGAAUUUAUUAAGCUUUGUCGGGUUUGGUUCGUCCUGUCUAAUUUUUUUUUUGUUAUUCUUUUUUAUAAUAAUAUAUGACAAGAUGCAUUUGUCACAGUGUUUUGGAGUUUCAACAUAGUUAAGAUUUCAAAACAUCGCAUUAUGGUGACCUCCAUGAUUAAUGCAUAUCUCAUUCAGCGUUUAUAUAAAAAAAAAAUUAUUAUCUAUUAUAUAAGGGGUCCUUUUUUCAAACUUAGUCUAAGACCCAUAAAAUGUUAGGAACAAGCAUGAAAAUAAGUCAUUCACAUCUACAAAAAGAAACAAAAACAUAGAAAAGAAAAUACUCAUGUAUUCCUUUGUUGUAUCCUAGCUCUCUUUUCUCUCUUCGUAUGACUUCAGCCUUGUCCUCCACUUUGUUUCACUAUUC
rnacentral:lncRNA from 1 species